rnacentral:tRNA from 1 species
GCCGCGGUAGCUCAGUUGGUAGGGCAUCGGACAAGUUAUUCAAAGGUCGCAGGUUCGGUCCCUGCCCGCGGCA